rnacentral:rRNA from 1 species
AACGAACGCUGGCGGCAUGCCUAACACAUGCAAGUCGAACGCCCUCUUCGGAGGGAGUGGCGCACGGGUGCGUAACGCGUGGGAACCUGCCCUUAGGUUCGGAAUAACUCAGAGAAAUUUGAGCUAAUACCGGAUAAUGUCUUCGGACCAAAGAUUUAUCGCCUUUGGAUGGGCCCGCGUUGGAUUAGCUAGUUGGUGGGGUAAAGCCUACCAAGGCGACGAUCCAUAGCUGGUCUGAGAGGAUGAUCAGCCACACUGGGACUGAGACACGGCCCAGACUCCUACGGGAGGCAGCAGUGGGGAAUAUUGGACAAUGGGCGAAAGCCUGAUCCAGCAAUGCCGCGUGAGUGAUGAAGGCCUUAGGGUUGUAAAGCUCUUUUACUGGGGAUGAUAAUGACAGUACCCAGAGAAUAAGCUCCGGCUAACUCCGUGCCAGCAGCCGCGGUAAAGU